GUAAGGAAUAUUGCUCAAUGGGAGAAAUCCUGAAGCAGCAACGCCGCGUGGAGGAUGAAGGGUCUAUGACUUGUAAACUCCUGUAAAGAAGGAAAAAAUUCCCAUUAGAUGGGAGAUGAUGGUACUUCUGGAGUAAGCCCCGGCUAACUACGUGCCAGCAGCCGCGGUAAUACGUAGGGGGCAAGCGUUGUCCGGAUUUACUGGGUGUAAAGGGUGCUCAGGCGGAUUUGUAAGUCAGAGGUGAAAUCUUACAGCUUAACUGUGAAACUGCCUUUGAUACUGCAAGCCUAGAGUAUGGAAGAGGGUGAUGGAAUAUCUGGUGUAGCAGUGAGAUGCGUAGAUAUCAGAUAGAACACCAAUGGCGAAGGCAGUCACUUGGUCCAUUACUGACGCUAAAGCACGAAAGCGUGGGUAGCAAACA
rnacentral:rRNA from 1 species